AACUUGGGAAGGGUCCAUUA
rnacentral:rRNA from 1 species